UACGUAGGGUGCGAGCGUUGUCCGGAAUUAUUGGGCGUAAAGAGCUCGUAGGCGGCUUGGCAAGUCGGGUGUGAAAACUCCAGGCUCAACCUGGAGAUGCCACUCGAGACUGCUAUGGCUAGAGUCCGGUAGGGGACCACGGAAUUCCUGGUGUAGCGGUGAAAUGCGCAGAUAUCAGGAGGAACACCGGUGGCGAAGGCGGUGGUCUGGGCCGGCACUGACGCUGAGGAGCGAAAGCGUGGGGAGCAAACAGG
rnacentral:rRNA from 1 species